UUUGCUGACUUAUAUUUUAUUAUCUUUCAGGCUGGCACAGGCCAAAAAGUCUAACAGUUCAGCCGUUGCCAUGACAAUGCAGAGCUCUCCACCAUGAGCUUGGACAGUACACAAACCCAGCUGUUUACUGCAGGCACUGAUAGACAGGUCAGAUGACCGUUGGGACUUCAGUGGCCACUGCUUUCACAGAAUCAAUGCCGGGCUGGAUCAAACUGUGAACAUCACGCAGGUCUUGUUGCUGAGGAGGAAACUAUUGGCAAUGGGGUGGAGAAGAGCCAACCAGACAUCUGGACCCUAACAAGUCAGAACGCUCCGGGGCUCUCACAUUCACUUUACUAUCGCUGCUACGGAUUUGAGAGGAUGUGUGUGCACACUUCCUUUGUAUACCCACAUCACAUCUGCUCUUCAUCAUCAUCAUCAUUUCACACCCAGUGAGCUGGACUCAGCGGUGCGCUAUCAUCAAGUUAUACGACUUUCACUCUUUCUGUCUCUCUCUCCCGCCUCCACACAUGCACAUGCUAGCGCACACACCGCUGUAUUUCCAUGUCUUCAGAGGACAUCGCAAUGACUUACAGUGGGUUCGUUUUAUGGAACGCACAUGCCCAUUCCCAACUUUAACCUUAACCAAAAUGUUUACUGUAACCUCAAAAGAUGCCUUUACCGUUAUUUGAACUUGCCUGUCUCAAGAGGAAGCCAAAUUCCUAGUAACAUGAUUGCGUAAACAAAUUUAGGCCCCCGCAUCAUGAGUAAUCUGCACCCCCCCUUUACUCCCUCACUUGCAAUUACAUGCUCUCAGGGGUGUCACAGUGGUAAAAAGAGCAGAGGCGACAGAUCAGCAGCAGUAAAAGAAAAUAGUGUCAUUAUGACUUUCAUCACUCAUUUAAUUUUCUGCUACUUCACAUAAACCUGGCUCCCAGUUGGAGCCACGCAGCCGUGUCCUGCAUGGCAUCUGAUUUAAACUCCCUCUGCCCGUUGCUGCCCAAAAAGAUCUCCUGUAGGUUGAAAUAUCCGCAUCUCACAGGCAGAUUCUCUUCACAGUUUGAAGGAACAGUGCAUCAUCUUUUUUUUUUU